rnacentral:rRNA from 1 species
UGCAGUCGAGCGGGCCCUUCGGGGUCAGCGGCAGACGGGUGAGUAACGCGUGGGAACGUGCCCUUCGGUUCGGAAUAACUCAGGGAAACUUGAGCUAAUACCGGAUACGCCCUUAUGGGGAAAGGUUUACUGCCGAAGGAUCGGCCCGCGUCUGAUUAGCUAGUUGGUGAGGUUAUGGCUCACCAAGGCGACGAUCAGUAGCUGGUCUGAGAGGAUGAUCAGCCACACUGGGACUGAGACACGGCCCAGACUCCUACGGGAGGCAGCAGUGGGGAAUAUUGGACAAUGGGGGCAACCCUGAUCCAGCCAUGCCGCGUGAGUGAUGACGGCCUUAGGGUUGUAAAGCUCUUUUCUCCGGGACGAUAAUGACGGUACCGGAGGAAUAAGCCCCGGCUAACUUCGUGCCAGCAGCCGCGGUAAUACGAAGGGGGCUAGCGUUGCUCGGAAUCACUGGGCGUAAAGGGCGCGUAGGCGGCUGAUUUAGUCGAGGGUGAAAGCCCGUGGCUCAACCACGGAAUGGCCUUCGAUACUGAUUGGCUUGAGACCGGAAGAGGACAGCGGAACUGCGAGUGUAGAGGUGAAAUUCGUAGAUAUUCGCAAGAACACCAGUGGCGAAGGCGGCUGUCUGGU